rnacentral:rRNA from 1 species
GCGGCGUGCUUAACACAUGCAAGUCGAACGGUGAACACGGAGCUUGCUCUGUGGGAUCAGUGGCGAACGGGUGAGUAACACGUGAGCAACCUGCCCCUGACUCUGGGAUAAGCGCUGGAAACGGCGUCUAAUACUGGAUAUGUGACGUGACCGCAUGGUCUGCGUUUGGAAAGAUUUUUCGGUUGGGGAGGGGCUCGCGGCCUAUCAGCUUGUUGGUGAGGUAAUGGCUCACCAAGGCGUCGACGGGUAGCCGGCCUGAGAGGGUGACCGGCCACACUGGGACUGAGACACGGCCCAGACUCCUACGGGAGGCAGCAGUGGGGAAUAUUGCACAAUGGGCGAAAGCCUGAUGCAGCAACGCCGCGUGAGGGAUGACGGCCUUCGGGUUGUAAACCUCUUUUAGCAGGGAAGAAGCGAAAGUGACGGUACCUGCAGAAAAAGCGCCGGCUAACUACGUGCCAGCAGCCGCGGUAAUACGUAGGGCGCAAGCGUUAUCCGGAAUUAUUGGGCGUAAAGAGCUCGUAGGCGGUUUGUCGCGUCUGCUGUGAAAUCCCGAGGCUCAACCUCGGGCCUGCAGUGGGUACGGGCAGACUAGAGUGCGGUAGGGGAGAUUGGAAUUCCUGGUGUAGCGGUGGAAUGCGCAGAUAUCAGGAGGAACACCGAUGGCGAAGGCAGAUCUCUGGGCCGUAACUGACGCUGAGGAGCGAAAGGGUGGGGAGCAAACAGGCUUAGAUACCCUGGUAGUCCACCCCGUAAACGUUGGGAACUAGUUGUGGGGUCCAUUCCACGGAUUCCGUGACGCAGCUAACGCAUUAAGUUCCCCGCCUGGGGAGUACGGCCGCAAGGCUAAAACUCAAAGGAAUUGACGGGGACCCGCACAAGCGGCGGAGCAUGCGGAUUAAUUCGAUGCAACGCG